AGCCGCGGAGAGAGGAGGAAGGAAGCUUCCCUGCGGGCUCCGGGGGUGCGGCCCUGCCCCGCGUCCGGACAGACAGACGUCUGACCGAGAAAGAAAAAAAACCUGAUGUGCUAGGAUCUCCAGUAUCCACAAAACAGAACAUGAGGAAGCAUAAAUAUGACUUCAUUCUUCCAGAGGGAAAAUUAAGAGGUGGGCAGUAGAGAGUGAAAUGCAUUACAGAAGGAGAAAAAAGAAAGAAGGACAAGGACUGAGGUCUGUAGGAGCCUCAAGUCUACAAGGGAUGAAGAGAUGCGGGCCGACCAAGUGAUACCUAAAGGGGUUAUACUCGAGUUGCCGGUUUCUCUUCUUUUUCAGAAAACAGUGACUCUCCAGGGUGGAGUUGUUCCUCGUUUCCCAUGUUACUAAUAUGCACAACUCUACAGAGGUUCUUCGAAAAACAGCCACAGAGCAGGUACAUUCUCCCCAGAAAUCAAAUUAUUCUAGUUGAUUCAGUUGUAGAAAAACUCAACCAACAGAACUUCGAAGAGUCGUGCAGCCUGGUUUAGGGGAAAGGUAUGUCCCGUGAUAGUCUUGUGGGAUGAGAUUCUACCAGAAAAAGAGUUCACCUUUUAUGAUAUAACCUUAUACAUAACCUUAUCACUUUGUAUCACCUUGUAUGAUAUAAACAUAUCACCAUAUAAUCCAACAUGAAGGACUUCUCGAUUUCUUCAGAAAAUAAAUACUUUCUUCCUUUUUUGUCUGCAUUUUGACAUUUAUCCCAGGCUACUUUUCCAGCAGCAAUUCACUAUU